rnacentral:rRNA from 1 species
GUACGGAAGGCAGCAGUGGGGAAUCUUGCGCAAUGGGGGCAACCCUGACGCAGCAACGCCGCGUGAGUGAUGAAGGCCUUCGGGUCGUAAAGCUCUGUCAGAUGGGACGAAAAUUCUGGCGGUAAAUAAUCGCCGGGAUUGACGGUACUGUCAGAGGAAGCACCGGCUAACUCCGUGCCAGCAGCCGCGGUAAUACGGAGGGUGCAAGCGUUGUUCGGAAUCAUUGGGCGUAAAGCGCGUGUAGGCGGUCGGGCAAGUCAGAUGUGAAAGCCCUUGGCUUAACCAAGGAAGUGCAUUUGAAACUGCCCGGCUUGAGUACGGGAGGGGGAAGUGGAAUUCCCGGUGUAGAGGUGAAAUUCGUAGAUAUCGGGAGGAACACCGGUGGCGAAGGCGGCUUCCUGGACCGAUACUGACGCUGAGACGCGAAAGCGUGGGGAGCAAACAGGAUUAGAUACCCCUGUAGUCCG